CACGUAGGGCGCAAGCGUUGUCCGGAAUUAUUGGGCGUAAAGAGCUCGUAGGCGGUCUGUUGCGUCCGCUGUGAAAACUCGGGGCUUAACCCCGAGCCUGCAGUGGAUACGGGCAGACUAGAGGUAGGUAGGGGAGAAUGGAAUUCCCGGUGUAGCGGUGAAAUGCGCAGGAUAUCGGGAGGAACACCGGUGGCGGAAGGCGGUUCUACUGGGACGGUACUG
rnacentral:rRNA from 1 species